rnacentral:rRNA from 1 species
UGAGGAAUAUUGGUCAAUGGGUGCAAGCCUGAACCAGCCAUCCCGCGUGAAGGACGACUGCCCUAUGGGUUGUAAACUUCUUUUGUAUAGGGAUAAACCUACCCUCGGGAGGGUAGCUGAAGGUACUAUACGAAUAAGCACCGGCUAACUCCGUGCCAGCAGCCGCGGUAAUACGGAGGGUGCAAGCGUUAUCCGGAGUUAUUGGGUUUAAAGGGUCCGUAGGCGGACUUAUAAGUCAGUGGUGAAAGCCUGUCGCUUAACGAUAGAACUGCCAUUGCUACUGUAAGUCUUGAGUAUAUUUGAGGUAGCUGGAAUAAGUAGUGUAGCGGUGAAAUGCAUAGAUAUUACUUAGAACACCAAUUGCGAAGGCAGGUUACCAAGAUAUAACUGACGCUGAGGGACGAAAGCGUGGGGAGCGAACA